rnacentral:lncRNA from 1 species
CGCGGAGUCGACCACGUGGAAAGGCGAGACUUCUUGAUUGUUAGCAACCGGAAAGGCAGCUAAAUUCGAAUGCAGCGAUAAGACAUAUGGAAACUAGCUGUGGAGCACAUGCGAGCCUACUUGUGAGGGGAAGAGCACCUCAAGCUGUGGACCACAUGUGAGUCUGCUUGUGAGAAGAAGAGCACUUCAAGGCACAUGGAAAUUAGCUGUGGACCACAUACUGCUUGAAGCAGGGCUCAAGGUCCGAACAUCCUCCCUUUAUGGUGAUCAUGGGAGGCGUUACGAAAGAGAAUCGAUAGAAUCUUCUGUCCUUACUACCACAAUUGCGGCGGUACGUUCACACCAGAAGUUAUUAUCUUGUUUUUCAAUUUUAUUAUUAUACCAAGAAAUUCGAUAAUCGUGUUACGUAAAGUUCAACAUUUCAAGGAACCGCGGUUUUCCGCCAAUUUCGUAGAUAAUAGUCACGUGAUGCGCAAUAGACAUGCGCAGAAGUCAGUAGAUCGUCAACUGUCAAGCGCAAGAGGCGUCUAAAGUUCUGUGACGUAAGUGUAGAAGAAAAAAAAUGGAGUGAGAAACUGAAAGGGCGACGUGUAACUAACAGAACGAAAUAUAGGUCGAGACGACAUCCAAUGAAAGAUGCGGGCUGUGUUAUUCAGGUAUACAGCCAUGGAAUGAAAUGCUGGUACUAGAUUAGUAACAGAGUGAUUAUGAAGAACUGUCUGAAUCUAACAGUGAUGCGCAAAGUAUGCUCAGGACCAAACAUGGCCUCCUUGGGGGAAAAUGACAGUCAAAGGAAACACAUCACUACAUUCCGCAACAUUUUUUGCGUAAUGAAAGGGGAUUCUGGGAGGGUAAAUCAACAUUUCCUGUAAUUGAAUUUUAAUUUGAGAUUUACAAUCAUAAUGGAAGUACUGUUUUAAAUGUAACCGUAACGUUCAUUUACAUAAAGAUAUACAAUAAAGAUGUGCCGUAAAGUCAGAAAAGUGCUUUUUCAGUUAGCUAGAAGUCUUAUAUUUUGUAAUUGCAACAUUUUAUGGACCUGAAAAUGCUUAGACAUCAAUCGAUGACAUGUGAGGAGUAAUCGAAUUAAUUACGAAAGCAAUUUUUGAAUGUAUAAACUCCCUAUAACUUUUUAACACUUACCAAAAAUACUAGAACUAAAAAAAUGUUGUUUGCGGCAGCAAUUUGAUACUUAUUAUUAUUUAAUUAGCGGAAAAAAGCGAAUUUAAUUAAUUAAAAUAGGUGGCGCCAUCUCUCCGGCGAACAGGAUGAACUACACAUUUUUAAAACAGCGGUGUCAUUAGUACCUAUAUCCUACCGCUAGAUGGCGCCACAGAUAACAUAAUAAUCGAUAAUGUUUCGAUUUCGUUGGAAAAAUGUGCGGGUUUUUUAAGAUAAGUGCACGGGGCGCUCCCCGAGUUAGUAAUUAAACGAUUAAACAAUAAGUUCAAUCAAGUUAUGCACUGUGUGAAAUGUUGUGA